rnacentral:rRNA from 1 species
ACUACUAGGAUAACUGUGGUAAUUCUAGAGCUAAUACUUGCACCGAAGCUGUUCCCUCACGGGGGCAGUGCAUUUAUUGGAGCAAAACCAGGCGGCUUCGGCCGUUUCUGCUGACUCAGAAUAACUAAGCUGACCGAAUGGGCUUGUCCCGUCGGCGUAUCGUUCGAGUGUCUGCCUUAUCAACUUUCGAUGGUAGUGUACGUGACUACCAUGGUUGUGACGGGUAACGGAGGAUAAGGGUUCGACUCCGGAGAAGGGGCCUGAGAAAUGGCCACUACGUCUAAGGAUGGCAGCAGGCGCGCAAAUUACCCACUCUCGGUUCGAGGAGGUAGUGACGAAAAAUAACAAGGCCGUUCUCUACGAGGCCGGCCAUUGGAAUGGGUACAACUCAAACCCUUUAACGAGUAUCAAUGAGAGGGCAAGUCUGGUGCCAGCAGCCGCGGUAAUUCCAGCUCUCAAAAUGCAUAGAACCAUUGCUGCGGUUAAAAAGCUCGUAGUUGGAUUUGUGCCGGCGCCGUGGUCCACCCUAACGGGCGGUACUGCGAGCGUCGGCUUUGGGCCGGUCUCCGGGCGGCGCACUUCACUGGGCGUCGUCCGUGGCUGGCUGGUUUACUUUGAGCAAAUCAGAGUGCUCAGCACAGGCGUCUCGCCGGAAUGUUCGUGCAUGGAAUAAUAGAACAGGAUCACGGUCCUCUUUUAUUGGUUUUGUGGACUGAGAUAAUGGUUAACAGAGACGAACGGGGGCAUUCGUA